CGACCUGGUUAAGUUUGCCAAGGAACCAGGCUAGACGCACAUUUCUCGAGAUCCGAUAUUCCUCCUUCAUCAGCAGGUAGAUCUGGUCAGCCUCCUCCACCUCAUGAGAAGAGACAUGUACAAACAUUCAGCAUAGGGACUGCAGGGAUGGUAGCGAGCCUCGGAAGAUUCACUCAGAUUUCAAGAAUACCCAAUGAACAAAAGCAUCAAAAAUGAACCACAACAGCCUUCAAUCUUGCAGUUCCUGGACAAUCGUGUCGGGCAUUACAGUAUGAGUCAUCCACAGAAGAAAGGUAUCACCAAUGCAAUACAGUCUGACUUGAUUAUUGAUUGCAACUUGCCCGUCUAUUGUGGAAAACAAGAGUUUUCGGCACUUUCUGACAGUACUUGAGAGGAAGUACAGCCCAGUGUGUUGCAGAACACUGACAUCAAAGACAGAGAACUGAAGAAAGACGUUUAAAAUUAAAUACCGUACUCAAUUGAGCAACACUGACAGUGUUUCAGUCACUGUGGACAUUUAGUGUGACAGAAUGAUGAAGGGAUUCCUUGGUGUCACUGUGCACUGGAUAAACAAGGAGGCAGAGAGGACACAGCUCAAGUCCAAUCUCUUGGCCUGUGAGUGCUUCAAAGGCUCAUACAUAGCUGAAAGAAUCUGUGACCAAUUUGAGGCAAUAUGUGAUGAAUACAACAUUAAAGCUAAACUGGACUACAUUAUUAGUGACAGUGCUGCUAAUGUGCGAAAAGCAUUCACUGUGUGCUUCCUCACUGAACAAGAGGAUGAUGAUGACAGAGAUCAUCUUGAUGACCCUGAGCUCUGGUGUGACUUAACCCUGGAAGAUCAGCAAACAGCAGAUGUUGCUAUGGAAAAGAAACAGCGCUUGCAGUGUUUUGCGCAAACUCUUCAGCUGGUGGUGUGAGAUGGUUUGAAAAAAACAAAAGUGGUAUCUCCAUCUCUUUUUCGAAGUUAUCAAAACUCAGCUCACUGCUGCACACAAGCACAACAUUCAAUUAUGUGUUUUAUGCUGAAUUUGGGGAACAGAAGGGCAUCCCUGCUGCAGUCAACAUAAGAUGGAGCAACACUGAGGCAAGUGAAGGCAGUUAUCCAGUGCAAUCAUCUAAAGCUCUGUGCUGUUCUCGAAAAGGCUGGACACAGGGAGUUGUCAUUCACAGCGCGGGAGUGGAAUCUGUUGAAGGGCUUGGUGGAUAUCUUGAAGCCAUUUGGAGAAGCAAUUGAUUUGACACAGGGGGAGAAGGUCAUCACAAUCAGUGCUGUUGUUCCAUCCAUCUUUUCCCUCAACGACCGCAUUGAGAAACUGAAGCAUCAAGUCUGUUUUCCUGAGCAGCCUAGUCAGAAGUCUCCAGGCAUCCCUGAGCAAAAGAUUUCUGGGAAUCUUCAGUAACGUGAAAAUGGCCAGGACACAAGAUGGGACCACUGCCCCCUUUUCAGAUCCAGUCAAAGCAGCUGCCUUGGGUCCAGCCUUUGCUCUGUUGUGGGUGGAGCCCCAUGUGCUGGUCAGUCGUGAUGUCAAGGCAGAGGUGGCACAAUGAGUUAAAGAAUCAGAGACUGAGCAUCCUUUUGUUCAUGAAGAAGAGCAAGAGGACCUUAGAGAAGGAGAAGGGCUGUUUGCUGCAUACCAUACGAGACAGAAGAAGUAUGUUGGGACUACCACAGCACUACAGCCAAGUCACUACCUUGACAUAGCUGAAGGACAGAAUACCCUUUUGUUCUGGACAUUGAACAUGAAGAGUCUUCCUUGACUGUUCCAAAUGGCCAUUAGAGUCUUGGCAGUGCCUGCCUCCAGUGCUACAGUGGAGCGAGUUUUCAGCCAUGGUGGCAUCAUACUACGUCCCCAUCGUCCUCAAAUGACUGACAGACUUUUGGCCAAUUUGGUCUUUUGCAAAUGCAAUGCAACAUAGGGCCCUGACAUAUAAAAAGCACAACCCUGUUCAUUGUUAUGUUCAUGUAUUUGUUAUGUUUCUCAUGUGCACACACCCACACAUAAAGACACAGACAGUAUGAGAUGAGAUAAAUGAGGUGAGAUAAGGACAAGACAGAAACUGCUGUGGAACUAGUUAAAUGCAAUAUGCCAUGAAAAUACAAUGUUAGCACUUUUGUACAAAUAAGUACAGUUGCACUUGUUUUUUCAGAUGUGUUUGUUCUGUAAAGGAAUGAGUUAAAUGUUAAAAAUGACUGGUUAAUAGUGCAAUUUCAGUUGCACUUGU